AUGUCGACUUGGAGGUUGUGCCCUUGAGGCGUGGCUUCCGGAGCUAACGCGUUAAGUCGACCGCCUGGGGAGUACGGCCGCAAGGUUAAAACUCAAAUGAAUUGACGGGGGCCCGCACAAGCGGUGGAGCAUGUGGUUUAAUUCGAUGCAACGCGAAGAACCUUACCUGGUCUUGACAUCCACGGAAGUUUUCAGAGAUGAGAAUGUGCCUUCGGGAACCGUGAGACAGGUGCUGCAUGGCUGUCGUCAGCUCGUGUUGUGAAAUGUUGGGUUAAGUCCCGCAACGAGCGCAACCCUUAUCCUUUGUUGCCAGCGGUCCGGCCGGGAACUCAAAGGAGACUGCCAGUGAUAAACUGGAGGAAGGUGGGGAUGACGUCAAGUCAUCAUGGCCCUUACGACCAGGGCUACACACGUGCUACAAUGGCGCAUACAAAGAGAAGCGACCUCGCGAGAGCAAGCGGACCUCAUAAAGUGCGUCGUAGUCCGGAUUGGAGUCUGCAACUCGACUCCAUGAAGUCGGAAUCGCUAGUAAUCGUGGAUCAGAAUGCCACGGUGAAUACGUUCCCGGGCCUUGUACACACCGCCCGUCACACCAUGGGAGUGGGUUGCAAAAGAAGUAGGUAGCUUAACCUUCGGGAGGGCGCUUACCACUUUGUGAUUCAUGACUGGGGUGAAGUCGUAACAAGGUAACCGUAGGGGAACCUGCGGUUGGA
rnacentral:rRNA from 1 species